rnacentral:piRNA from 1 species
GUCAAAGGAAAUGGCAUCUCUUGGAAAA